CGUAAGUAAUCUGCCUUCGAGUGGGGAAUAACGUCCGGAAACGGACGCUAAUACCGCAUAACGCAGCGGCACCUAAUGGUGACAGUUGUUAAAGGAGCAAUCCGCUUGAAGAGGAGCUUGCGGCAGAUUAGCUUGUUGGUAAGGUAACGGCUUACCAAGGCUACGAUCUGUAACCGGUCUAAGAGGACGGUCGGUCACACUGACACUGAAUAACGGGUCAGACUCCUACGGGAGGCAGCAGUCGGGAAUUUUGGGCAAUGGGCGAAAGCCUGACCCAGCAACGCCGCGUGAAGGAUGAAGUAUUUCGGUAUGUAAACUUCGAAAGAAUGGGAAGAAUCAAUGACGGUACCAUUUAUAAGGUCCGGCUAACUACGUGCCAGCAGCCGCGGUAAUACGUAGGGACCAAGCGUUGUUCGGAUUUACUGGGCGUAAAGGGCGCGUAGGCGGCAAUUCAAGUCAUCUGUGAAAUCUCCGGGCUUAACUCGGAACGGUCAGAUGAUACUGCUUUGCUAGAGUGCGGAAGGGGCAAUCGGAAUUCUCGGUGUAGCGGUGAAAUGCGUAGAUAUCGAGAGGAACACCUGAGGU
rnacentral:rRNA from 1 species